GAUGAACGCUGGCGGCGUGCCUAAUACAUGCAAGUCGAGCGAACAGACGAGGAGCUUGCUCCUCUGACGUUAGCGGCGGACGGGUGAGUAACACGUGGAUAACCUACCUAUAAGACUGGGAUAACUUCGGGAAACCGGAGCUAAUACCGGAUAAUAUAUUGAACCGCAUGGUUCAAUAGUGAAAGACGGUUUUGCUGUCACUUAUAGAUGGAUCCGCGCCGCAUUAGCUAGUUGGUAAGGUAACGGCUUACCAAGGCAACGAUGCGUAGCCGACCUGAGAGGGUGAUCGGCCACACUGGAACUGAGACACGAUCCAGACUCCGACGGGAGGCAGCAGUAGGGAAUCUUCCGCAAUGGGCGAAAGCCUGACGGAGCAACGCCGCGUGAGUGAUGAAGGUCUUCGGAUCGUAAAACUCUGUUAUUAGGGAAGAACAAAUGUGUAAGUAACUAUGCACGUCUUGACGGUACCUAAUCAGAAAGCCACGGCUAACUACGUG
rnacentral:rRNA from 1 species